rfam:Triticum aestivum genome assembly, contig: Triticum_aestivum_CS42_TGACv1_scaffold_050122_1BS
AUAAUACUCCCUCCGUCCGGAAUUACUUGUCAUCAAAAUAAAUGUGUCUAGAACUAAAAUACAUCUAGAUACAUCCAUUUCAAUGACAAGUAUUUUCGGACGGAGGGAGUAGUAG